rnacentral:lncRNA from 1 species
UGAUAUAUCACUAUGUUCUCUUAUUUUAAAAUUUGUUUAACUUUCAUGAGAAGUCCGCCUGCAUUUAGUUAACAGCUGCGCACGCUAGUCCGAAUAGUAGCAGGGAAAGUUAUCUUGAAUCUGAAAAGAAAAUGAAACUAAAAUGAAAGGGGCUCAAAAGAUUCAAAUUGUGAAAUUCAAAUUAUAAUUAUUUAAAUUUAUAUUAUUUUUAAUUAAGAAUAGAUAAAAAUUUAAAUUGUUAAAUUCAAUUUAUAAUUAUCCAUAUCAAUAUUACUUUUAGUUUAUUUAAAUGAAUUUAUCUUAAAUUUUAAUUCUAAAUUCAUUUAAUUGGAUAUGAUUGGUAUAGAUUCAAUACAUAUUUAGAUUAUCUAAAUUAAAUUUUGGAUUAGAUUUUGACGAGUCGAGUUGGUCCAGGUCCAAGUCGAGUUGGUCUAGACCAAAGUCGACCAAGUCAGUUCAGACAAAAGUCAAAUCGAGUCAACCUAGACCAAAGUCAACCUGAGUGGGCCAUAGCUUGGACAAGGUCAAGUAAGCAUUGGGUCCAUGUUGAGCCAAGUCGAUUUUGGCCCUUGUCAAGCCGAGUCGGCCCAGGUCGAUGUUGAUUUGAGUUGGUCUAGCCCAUGUCGGGACGAGUCAACCCAAGCUCAUGUUGAUGCGAGUCGACCUGUGUCCAUGUCGAUUUGAGUCGACCUAGGCUUUUGUUGAUACGAGUCGACCCGGACCGAUGUCGAGCAGAGUCUGCCCGAACCAAUGUGGAUUUGAGUCAACCUGAAACAAUGUCUAUCCUAGUCAGCCUGAGACCAUGUGAAUCAGAGUCAACCUGGGCCGAUGUUGAGUUGAGUCGGCCCAAGCAGUUAUCGGAUGAGUUGGCUCGGGCAGAUGUCAAGCCGAGUCGAUCCGGGAAUAUGUCGAGCGAGCCAAUGUUGAGCCAAUGUCAAGCCAAAUCGGUAUGCGUCCAUGUCGAGCCGAGUCGAUCUAGGCUGAUGUCGAGGCGAGUCGGCCCGGGAGGUUAAUGUUGAGCCAAGUUUGCCCGAGCCGAGUAAGUCCGCGUCCAUGUCGAGCCUAGUCGGCCUGGACCUAUAUCGAGCUAAGUCAUUUCAGGCCCAUGUCGAGACUAGUCAAACCGGCCCAAGUAGAGCAGAGACAUCUAGUGCGCAUGUCGAGCCGGGUCAACCCAGACCCAUGUCGGGUUGAGUCGACUUGGAACGAUGUGGAGUUGAGUCAUCCCGAGGCGAUGUCCAGCAAAGUCAACAUGGGCCAAUGUUGAGCCGAGUCGUUCCGAGACUAGUUGAACCGGGUCCAAGUCGAGCAGAGUCAGCCCAGACCUGUGUCGAGCCGAGUCCGUUCGGGUCUAAGUCAAGUCAAGUCGUCCCAUGACAAUGUCGAUCCGAGUCGGCCCGGAACGAUGUUGAUUAAAGUCAACUCGUGUCAAUGUCGAGCCAAAUCACUACGAGCCGAUGUCGAGCCGAGUUAACCUAGGUCGAUGUCGAGUUGGCCCAGGACAAUGUCGAGUCAAGUCAACCCGGGACGAUGUCGAGUCGAGUAGGCCCGAGACAAUGUCGAGCCUAUUCGGCUGAGGACUAUAUUGACCCGAUGUCGAGUCAAGUCGGUUGAGGACGAUAUCGAGCCAAUGUCAAGCCGAGUCGACUCGGGCCCUUGUCGAGCCGAGUUGGUCUAAGCCCAAGUCAAGUUGAGUCACUUCAGCCAAAAGUCGAGUUAAGUAUGUCCGGACCCAAGUAAGCCAAGUUAGCCUAGGCAAAAGUCGAACCGAGUCAACCGUGCCCAAGUCAACCUGAGUGGGCUAGAGCCCAAGUUGAGUAGGCACCCGAACAUGGUCGAGUUAGCACCGGGCCCAUGUUGAGCCAAGUCAACUAAGGCCUUUGUUAAGCCGAGUCGACCCAGGCCGAUGUCAAGUCGAGUCUGUCCGACCCAAGACGAGACGAGUCGGCCUAGGCUCAAUCCGAGUCGACUAACUUCCAUGUCGAGUCGAAUAGACUCGGGCCCAUGUCGAUCUGAGCUGACCCAAGUCCAUAUCGAUCCUAGUCGACUCGGACCCAUGUUGAGCAAAGUCGACUCUGACCAAUGUCGAUUCGUGUCAGCCCGGGACCAUGUCAAUACGAUUCAACCCACGCCACCUGAGUUGAUCUGGUAAUGUCGAGCCGAGUCGAAGUGGUCCAAUGUUGAGCCAAGUCGGAACGGUCCCAUGUAUAUCUUAGUUGAACCGAACCGAUGUCGAGUUAAGUCAUCUCGGUCGAUGUCGAGUUGAGUCGGCCCAGUCGAUGUCGAGUCGAGUCGAGUCAGCCCGGGUUGAUGUCAAGCCAAUGUUGCACCAAGCCGGUCCAAGUCGAUGUCGAGCCGAGUGAGCUAGAGAGGUUGACCAACCAAGUCGGCCCAGGCCCAUGCCGUCGGACCGGGUCAAAGUAGAGUCGAGUCAUUCCGUGCCCAUCUCGAGCUGAGUCGACCCGGACCCAUGUCGAUAUGUCGGUUGGGAUGAUGUCGAGUUGAGUUGUCCCGAGGUGAUGUCAAGCCAAGUCAUCCUGGGACAAUGCCGAGCCGAGUCUUCCGGGUCCAUAUUGAGACGAGUUAGCCCAGGCCGGUGUCGAGCCUAGUCAGCCCAAGAUCAUGUCAAUCCAAGUCGGCCUGAGACCAUGUCGAUCUGAGUCAAUUCGUGUCGAUGUCGAGCAAAGUCGUUCCAAGUCGAUGUCGAUCUAGGCCGAUGUUGAGCCGAGUAGGCUCGUGCCGAUGUCGAGACGAGUUGACCGUGCUCAAUAUUGAGUUGAUGUCAAGUCAAGUCGGUUGAGUACAAUAUCAAGUUGAUGCCGAGCCGAGUCGGCCGGGGACGAUGUCGAGCCGAGUCAACUCGAGCCCAUGUCGAGUUGAGUCAGCCGAGGCUGAUGUCGAGUUUAUCUGGCCCGGGCCCAUGUCAGGCUAAGUCGCCCCGAGCCAAGGUUAAGUGGGCACGACCCAUGUAGAGCCAACUCGACCCAAACCCAAAUUGAGUCAAGUCGACUAGUUUCAAUGUCAAGCUGAGUGGGUCAAAGUCCAUGUUGAGCCGAGUGGGUCUGGACCCAUGUUAAGUUGAGUCAGCCAAAGCCCAGAUUGAAAUGGAUUUAAUCUAAUUGACAAAGUGGAUUUAAUUUAGAUAUAAUAUAUUUUAAAUAAAUUUGAAUAAAUCCAAAGAAUAUUGAUCUAGUUAAAAUAGAUAUCGAUUUUAAAUCCAAUUCAUUUUAUUGGAUCUAGAUUGGAUUUUGAAAAAGUCCAAUCCAUGGCCACCUUUACUUUUAAUCCAUUUAAAUGGAUUUAUCACAAAUCCAAUCCAUUUAAUGGGAUAUGGAUUUGAUAUAGAUUGGAUAUAUUUUUGAAUUAUCCAAAAUAGAUUUUUAAUUGGAUUUGAGUUGGCUCGGGCAUAAGUUGAGCUAAGUUGAUCCAUACCAAGGUCCAACCGAGUUGACCCGGGCCUAGAUCCAGUCGAAUCAUUAUGACCAAGGUCAAGUCAAGAUGACACCGAACCAAGUCCAGCCGAGUCAACCCGGGCUCAAGUCAAGUUGAGUCAACUCAGCCUAGAUUGAGCCCAAGUCGAGCUGAGUCGAGUCAGACCAGGAUCAGGUCGAGCUGAGUCGAGUCAGACCAGGAUCAGGUCGAGCUGAGUCGACCCGACCCCAUGUCAAGUCAAGUCGACCCGACCCCAUGUCAAGUCAAGUCGACCCGGGCCCAUGUCAAGCUAGGCUUGUGUUAAGCUGAGUUAACCCAGGUCGCCCGAGCCCACGUCGAGUCGAGUCAGCCCAUAUCAACCUAAGUCCAUCCAGGCCCGUGUUAAGCCGAGUUGACCCAGGUCCAGGUCGAGUUGAGUCAGCCUGGGCCCACAUCGAGUUGAGUUGGCCCAUCGAGCCCAUGUUGAGUUGAGUCGACCUUAGCCUAUGUUAAGCUGAGUCCACCCGGGUCCAUAUUGAGUUGAGUCCACCUGGAUCCGAGUCGACUUAGGCCCAAGUCGAGUCAAGUUAAUCCAGACACAUGUCAAGUCGAGUCGGCCCAUAUCGAGUUGAGUCAACCCGAGCCCAUGUCGGGUUGAGUCAACUCAGGCCCAUGUCUAACCGAGUCGGACCGGGCUCAUGUCAUGUUGAAUCGGCUCAGACCCAUGUGGAGUUGAGUCGUUGUCGGUCCAGGUCAAGUUCAGUCAACUCGAGCCCAUGUUGGGUCGAGUGGACCCAGGCCCAUGUCGAGUUGAGUUGGUCUUGUAUUAGGUCGAGUUGAUUCAACCAAGCCCAUGUGAAGUCAAGUCGACCAGGGCUCAGGUCGAGUCAAAUCGGCCUAGGCCCAUAUCAAGUUGAGUCGUCUCGACCUAUGUCGAGCUAAGCCGACCUGAUAAUAGGUCGAGUUUAGUUGGCCUGAGUCCAGGUCGGUGAGAGUCGACCCGGGUUCAGGUCUAGCCGAGUCGGCUCAGGUCCAGGUCUAGCCGGUCUGGGGCCAAGUCGAGUCGACUUAGAUUCAAGUCGAGCCAUGUUAGCCCGUGUCCAGAAAUGAAUUUAAUCUAAUUGACAAAGUGCAUUUAAUCUAAGAUUUAAUUCACUUUAAAUGGAUUUGAAAAUAAAAAUAAAUUUGAUCUAGUUAAAAUGAAUAUGAAAUUUAGAUCCAAUCCAUUGGAUUUAAAUUACAUUUUGAAAAAUUCAAUUUAAAUUGAAAAAUUCAAUUCUAAACCCUAAACCCUAAACCCUAAACCCUAAACCCUAAACCCUAAACCCUAAACCCUAAACCCUAAACCCUAAACCCUAAACCCUAAACCCUAAACCACUCCUAUUCCUACUAAAAAUGUAUUUAAUUCUUUCACUAUAAAGUAUGCUGGAAUUCACACCACGUCUAAAUUUUAGAUUAAAUAAAAAGGAGAAAGUUGAAUAAGAUAUAAUUUAUCUUAUCGUCUCGGCGGUUUCUAGCAGGUAAUUGAAGUGCUGGUAGUUAGGUAAGUAACCCUUCAUGGUGAGAAGAAGAUUAUUAGGAAUGCGAGAAGUUGAACAUACCUUAUAGUUUAUGAUUACUGCGUGGAUGUUAUGGAGAUCACAUAACUAGUAAGUUUUCAACUAUUCACGUAGCAAGAUUGGUUCUUAGUUAACCAGAUCAGGUCAUGCAUCAUUCCAUCACCCACCUCCUUCGCGGUAUAGUCUUGUUAGUAGCUUGGACGUCUCCGUUUUGAGGUUUAAUCCGUGAUGAUUUUAGGCGGUGGAUAGCAGGGUCACAUCUUGCUGAUCCUCAACUAACCUGCAAGUAUAACUGUUCAAAAAUAUUCAUCAUUAGCAGCUAGGAUAGAAAAAGAGAUAUCAGAAAAUGAUGUGAUUCUGACUACGGUUUGAGCAUUAAUCUUCUCAACCCAGAACCUCACCGUUGGCAUCUUCUAGUUGUACUAAUCUCCAAAAUUCUUUUUUUCCUCAACUCCAAAGGGGAAGUUUCCGUAUCCUGUAUCUUUCAGGAAAGAGUGGCCACA